AGUGAACGCUGGCGGUAGGCCUAACACAUGCAAGUCGAACGGCAGCACAGUAAGAGCUUGCUCUUACGGGUGGCGAGUGGCGGACGGGUGAGGAAAACAUCGGAAUCUGCUUUUUCGUGGGGGAUAACGUAGGGGAACUUACGCUAAUACCGCAUACGACCUACGGGUGAAAGCAGGGGAUCUUCGGACCUUGCGCGAUUGAAUGAGCCGAUGUCGGAUUAGCUAGUUGGCGGGGUAAAGGCCCACCAAGGCGACGAUCCGUAGCUGGUCUGAGAGGAUGAUCAGCCACACUGGAACUGAGACACGGUCCAGACUCCUACGGGAGGCAGCAGUGGGGAAUAUUGGACAAUGGGCGCAAGCCUGAUCCAGCCAUACCGCGUGGGUGAAGAAGGCCUUCGGGUUGUAAAGCACUUUUGUUGGGAAAGAAAAGCAGCAGGUUAAUACCCCGCUGUUCUGACGGUACCCAAAGAAUAAGCACCGGCUAACUUCGUG
rnacentral:rRNA from 1 species